rnacentral:tRNA from 1 species
UGGGAUAUAGCUCAAUUUAUAGAGUGUUUGCCUGGAAUGCAUGAAGCCUUGGAUUCAAUUCACAGUAUCACAU